rnacentral:rRNA from 1 species
GAACGGUGUCUUCGGACACAGUGGCGGACGGGUGAGUAACGCGUGAGAAUCUAGCUUUAGGUCUGGGACAACCACUGGAAACGGUGGCUAAUACCGGAUGUGCCCUGAGGGGUGAAAGGUUAACUGCCUGAAGAUGAGCUCGCGUCUGAUUAGCUAGUUGGUGUGGUAAGAGCGCACCAAGGCGACGAUCAGUAGCUGGUCUGAGAGGACGAUCAGCCACACUGGGACUGAGACACGGCCCAGACUCCUACGGGAGGCAGCAGUGGGGAAUUUUCCGCAAUGGGCGAAAGCCUGACGGAGCAAUACCGCGUGAGGGAGGAAGGCUCUUGGGUCGUAAACCUCUUUUCUCAGGGAAGAACACAAUGACGGUACCUGAGGAAUAAGCAUCGGCUAACUCCGUGCCAGCAGCCGCGGUAAUACGGAGGAUGCAAGCGUUAUCCGGAAUGAUUGGGCGUAAAGCGUCCGCAGGUGGCUAUGUAAGUCUGCUGUUAAAGAGUCUAGCUCAACUAGAUAAGAGCAGUGGAAACUACAAGGCUAGAGUGCGUUCGGGGCAGAGGGAAUUCCUGGUGUAGCGGUGAAAUGCGUAGAGAUCAGGAAGAACACCGGUGGCGAAGGCGCUCUGCUAGGCCGCAACUGACACUGAGGGACGAAAGCUAGGGGAGCGAAUGGGAUUAGAUACCCCAGUAGUCCUAGCCGUAAACGAUGGAUACUAGGCGUGGCUUGUAUCGACCCGAGCCGUGCCGUAGCUAACGCGUUAAGUAUCCCGCCUGGGGAGUACGCCGGCAACGGUGAAACUCAAAGGAAUUGACGGGGGCCC